CUACAGCCUGAACUAAGACUGGGUCCUUGCAGCUCUCCAACACAUGAUUGCUGCCUGCCAGAACCACAGACCUUUCUCGGGACUGGCACGAAUUUCAGCCAACAGAGCCUGCACAGAAACACAUGGAAAAGGCUUCCGGUGGAGCUUACUGUGAGUCACAGACAGCCAUAGUUGCACUGGAUAGAGAGCUGGCAGAUGCCAUCAGCAUAUGCCCUUAGAAACUUUGGUUGUUUUGUGGCCUGGAGAAGAGCCCAGAAUUAUGGAGCCUAAGAGGCAGCACCUCUGCUUUCUGAAGAGGAAGCCGUAGUGCCGUGGACUUCACCACGUGCACAGUGGCUGCAUCCAGACCUGAAUGCCCCUCUCAUUACUCACCGGAAGUGAGCUUUGAACACUUCACACAGGAAGAUGACUCGCUCCUCCAACAAGAUGCAGAAAGUCUUUCCAAGCAAAUGACUUGAAGUGUUUAAAUAUUCUGUUUCUUAGUCUGCUUUUUUUCUGUUAAAUCCUUCAGCUUGAAUGAGCACCUUUAUCUGCAAAUUGAUCUGGUUGUAGCAUCCCUUGACCAUAAAAACACCAUAAAUAGGAUUUCUGAUGUCCAUUUUAUAGAUGAAGAAGGAAGGUUUAGCAAGGCCAUUCAAGGAUACACAGCUAGAGGACGAGAUGGAAUUGAAGUCCCUUUGUCAGCAUCCUUUUCAUUCUUGAUGCCAUUUCAUUUCCCCUCCUGGUAUGUUUUGUUAUGCAGUUAGCUUAGGCCUAAUUUUAUAUAACCAAUUAUAAACUGUGAAAUAGGAUUCUGGUAUGAAUUUCCUAUUCUUCUCCCACUAAGCAACUGAUGAAUCCCUUCGUGGUCAGAUGUGACGAAUGGGAUUGUUUCUGUUCUACUAUGGUUUGAAUUUCUACCUUGAUAAUUACACAAAAACACUAUCAACAAAGGUGGACGCCAGGUAAACACUGCUCCCUCCUAAAUGCUUCUAUGGCUGAGAUCCAUUCUCUUGCUCUUUUUCUCCUUUCUUCAAGAACAGAUGUUCAUAUUCUUUGCCAAUUUUUCUACUGAGUUAUAAGAACACAUUAUAUAUUAAGAAAAUUAGUCCUAUUUAUUUGUCUUAUAGGUUAGAAAUAUUUACCUGUUGGUCAAUGGUCUAUCAUCUGAAUAUAUAGUAUUUUUGGGGGCCUCUGCAUAAUAGUUCUGUAUUAUUUUUUAGGAAAGCCUUCCCACUCCAAGAGAAAAACUAUUAUACAAAUGAUACAACCUGCUAUGGAAAAAAGAGAAAUAACAGAUAAGUAUACAAAGAAAAUACAAGAAAAACAUGAACAGUAAUAAUCUUAUCCAAAUGUUACUGAGAUAUUUUUGGAGUACUUAAUUUCAAUCUUUUUCCUAUAUGCAAACACACACAACUUUUCUCUAACAAAAAUCAGAUCAUACUGUACUAGCAAACACCCUACCUGAAAUCUGUAUAUCCAUUGCCUAUUGAUUAUGCCCAUUGCUUAACAUACUAUGUUUUAUUUAAUCAUUAUUUAAUUGUUGAGUAUGCAAGUUAUUUCUGAGUUUUCACUCAAGCUGUUUACGCUUAUUUCUGUCUGGGUGUGAAUGAAUCUUUGGCACAUUCCUCUAGCAAGUUGAUCAACAUCUGGUCUAAGAUAUUCUUCGGUGUUGGGUUUGUGCUGUCCACAUCAGCUUAGCAAUGUCUGCACAAAGACUCCUUCCCCCUCAAAAGUGCCAUUCAGACUUGCUGUGGGUAUAAGGGGAACAAUCUCAUUGAGGAGAAAGUUGUCAUUGUGGUUGAGAACAUGAACUUUGGAAUUGGAUAGAGCUGUGUGAAUUUGGCCUAAACUCCGAGUCUGCUUCCACAUCUGUAAAAUGUAGACACAAAUAGUUACUCAUAAGGUUCUGGUGGGGAUUAAAUGUGGUUAUACCUGUAAAGUCCUUAGCAUUAUGCCCAGCACAUAGUGAAGAUGUUCGAUAAAUGAUAACUAAACAAACAUUGUGUCCCCUCCCACUACAACCACACUGCUCUCCCUCACCUUACAGACUUUGCUGCUUGACAAUCUUGGGGUGGGGCUGCUGAAAACUGAAUCUCAAUUUAGGAAGCCAUGUUGUCCCAGGAUUAGGGUUAUUGGCCUCACAUAAGAAUCUCCAAAUCUGCAGAAUCUCAGGCCCCACCCAAAAACUAUUCAAUCAGAAACUACAUUUUCAAAAGAUAUCCCAGAUGAUUUGUAUGCAUAGUAAAGUUUGAGAAGGUUUUAGUCCAGGUAUUCAGGAAGUGAUGCUGGUUGUGUAUGGAGGACAGGGGCCCAGGAACUGAUGAAAUCUCUAGUUUGGAAUUCUCGAUAGCAUUUGCAUUCUUUUUUUUUUUUUUUAUCUCAAAUCCAUCACUCAGUAGCAAUGUGAUCUUCACAAAGCUCCCUUUACUUUUACCACCAUAGUGUUGUAGGAGAAGCUCUAUCUUCCAAGUCAGACAGAUCUGGGCUUCAAUUCCAGCUUUGUUAACUGGAGGACUUAUUAUUAGCUGGGAGGACUUGCGACAAAUCAUACCAACUUUCUGAGCCCAGUUUCCUUCCCUGUAAAAUGUAGAUAAUACACCUUUCUUGAGGUGUUACUAGAGAUAACCAAUGAUAAAGUGUUUGGGAAAUCUGGCAUAUCGUAGGGGUACAAUGAGUAAGUGGUUUGACUCCAAAGACCUGAGUUUGGAUCUCAGCUCCACAACUCACUUGGCUGAUUGCUUUCUUUCCCUGGACUCAAGUUUCAUCAUCUGUAAAACUGGCAUUUCAACCAAAUAACUUCUGAAGUCUCUCCCUCCUUUAAAGCUUGAUAUUACAAGGGCAAAUUUUAGUACAAAUAUCCAAAUCCUAACGGUAACUCACAAUUACAAAAGAGCUGAGUCUGUCAUUCACCUGUCAAAUUAUCUAAACUGCGUCUCAGUCAGGAGAUGUGAAAAGAAGGAUGGAUUUUCUAUGAAUGUUUUCUUUUUUUUUUUU
rnacentral:lncRNA from 10 species